AUAAAAUGCAUGCAUGACUUGGAGCUGUGAGCGUUCUGAUGUGAAAUAUACCGGUAUAGCAGGUGCCCUUAAAACAACUUUGGCAUGUGUUUAUGAUUCAAGAUAAAAAGAGGGAGGUGAUUUACAUCUUAGUGUUUGAUUUUGCAUUAUUUGCCAUACAUUUUUUCUUUAUUUCCGAAUUCCAUUUUAGACAUUAAUGGUGGAGUUUCUGACAACUUCCAGGCAAAAUAUCGGAGUGUAUUGUCUAAAGGAGAAACGGUACAUUGCAUAGCUGUUUUGCUAUAGUAAAGAAAUGAUGCGAAGAUGGAAAAGAGGCAAAAGUGUCCGAAUAAUCAGUGAAUAGAUCUUCAAUGAUUAGAAUCUCACUUUUUGGUGCUCGGAAGUAAAGCGUUAUGCUGUAGAUGUAGAUGCGGUUAAAUCCGGAGUAUGUGUGGCGUUUUUCCUUUCUCGCUGAAAAUGGCUCCAAGGAUAUUCACGUAGCUGUUUUUAUUAGAGGGGCUAGAUUACCAUUGAUAGUGAUAAAAUCCUUCACGACCAAUACCGCAGAAACAGGAGAGUUGUUACAGAGACAGGGACUAUCAGCCUCCCAGAUCUCGCGAGACGAGAGAUCGUCUGCCGAGAAGAUCAUAGACGUAAUUACCGCUUGUCUCAGCGAUAUAUACCGUUCUGGCCAAAGAUCCCGGAAUUGGAUUAUCAGCUGCGACCAGUGAGUGGGCGAACUACCUUGGGAUUCUGAGGCGUUGAUCAGACUGAUAGAUGACUCAUUGUUCUAUAAUCCCGUCCGUUUGUUUGUGCAGUAUUAGAGAACGGUGUAUAGUCAUAAGACAUAUUAUUCCAAUCACAACACCGGUAGGUAUAUUUAGACCACUCCUCUCAGUACCCCCAAUGAUGUCAAGCUACAGGCAGCGACCUAGAUACCAAGCGAUUGAUUCAUUGUGUUAAUGAUCCAUGGUGGUGGAAUGUCCAAAACAACGUGACAAGUUUUGGAGAAAACACGAGCAUAUGUAAACUAGAACUAUAUAUCUUCAAAGAUUGCAUACAUCUGCAUCUAUAAUAAUGAGAGAGAGAGAGAGAGAGAGAGAGAGAGAGAGAGAGAGAGGGUCAGUCAGAAGAUGAUGGGGUCUGCAGUUUAUGUCCAUUGUUUCCAUGGAAUAAUCGUCGCUUGGAAUGCACUCACGCGGAGUUCGCUGUAGCCGCUGUCAGAUGCACCAUCUCUUCUUCAUGGCUGACGAUGGAUCGCAUAUUUCCUCAAGUUUUUGGCGUUACUGGAGAACUGCCUAUACUCUGCAUCUUUGUAUGCUUUGCCAGAAAAUAAUCAGAGAGUAAUUUUCUAUUUUCUACCAUACGUCCUAAAUAAUAAUGAUGAUAACGAUGAAAAUGUCGAUGAUGGCGACAUGGUGACGAUUAUAUGCUUUUUUGAGUAUUUUAAAAUGUAUUCAAUCAAUUAACCACUCGUAAAUUCAUCUUAUAAGAUGCAUAAAAUUCACAGUUUAACAAGUAUCUAUAGAACUAAACUUUAUUAAAUAAAAGAGUUUUACUUG
rnacentral:sRNA from 1 species